GGUUUAAUGAGCAAAAAUUGACUUUUUUGAGAUUCGGCUUUUAAAUUAUUCUCGUUUUCGCGUUAGGCACAAGACAGAAGAAGUUUCUACAAGAUUUAUUAAUGAAUUAUUUACUACAUCCUCUCCCACUGAAAAUUCCCGGGCACGCCACUGAGUGGCGGCGUAUACGUAUACACAAUAUUAAUUUUAUGAUGUAUUAUAUUAUUAUAUACAGUUUUGGAUACGAUCAAACGUACCGGCCGACUCGACGUGACGU